rnacentral:tRNA from 1 species
UGUGUAGCUCAGUGGUAGAGCGUGUGCCUAACAUGCACAGGCCCUGGGUUCCAGUUCCAGUGUCACAA